UGAACAAGUGGGACAGUAUGGGCGUAUGUGUCAACACGGCUAUCAAGGCUAUAUCGUCGCUCUCGUUCAGGUCACUAUUCUUUAGUUUGUUGGUGGAACUCAAACUUCAGAAUCUUCACUUUCCAAGAGAUUACUACUACUACUACUACAAAUUGAUAAUCCUCAGUGUAUAACCGGUCUCUCAUGAUGACGUUGGGCAUCGCUAGGCUAGUAGGAGCAUGCGUGAUUCUCUCGCUAGGUAGUGGGGAAAACAUUGCUCUCCACAAACAAACAUGGAUGAGUAGUACCAGGAGAGUACAAUAUUCCGGAAGAGCGGUAGAUGGAGUGAGUGACGCAUAUAACGAGUCAUUAACAAUCCACACCUCGUUGCGUGAGCCUAAUGCUUGGUGGAAGGUUGAUCUCGAGACGGUGGUACAGUCUCCAUUGAUCAUCAUCUACUUCAGAUCUGACUACAAAGUCCGCCGUAAUGGGUUGCAAUUUUAUUGCUCUGUUACAAGUUCUCUUGCUCCAAAAAACGGAAGUCUGUUUUACACGGUCAGGGGACGUAGAGACGGUCGAGAUAUUGCUGAUAUUCUAAACGUUACCUGUUACGAAAGCUUUCGCUUCCUUACUAUUUACACUGAGACAGCCAAUGAUAACGGUGUUGGACUUUGCGGAAGUAGAAGUUUGGAAUACUUAUCAAUCACAGAGCCCAUUCACAGGAGAUGACGAUGAUGAUACGCACUCAGAUUAUGAUAAAAUACAAACAUUGAGUAAGUAAACAACACUAUUUCGCAUUUUAUACUUCUUCGUGUUUGUGAAUGGAAUCCUGAGUGCUGCAUGAGUUACACUCUUGAUGUUUGUAUUAUUUCAAAGUAGUAUGCUGCAGAUCAACGGAAGUUAAGGUACAAAACGGUCACAUGGACAUUGUCAGACGAUGGUAAAUAUUGUGUGAAGUUUACUGAGAAAACAGUUCGUGAAUCUGGGACUUCUUCACAAUCACUGUAUGCUAAAGUGUGCUAAUGUUUGAGAACAUUUUGAACAUUUCCAAACAGUAUGCUGCAGACCAACGGAAGUAUCUCCGUUAACCAAUUAGGACAAUAUCAUAUACAUAAAUUCCAACGUUUUUGGAGACGAAGGUACAUGUCAUCUGAUGUUUACUGAGAAAACAAUUUUGGUCUCGUCUUGUGAAAUUCGGGGCUAAGGCAUUCAGAAUGAUCCUUGAAGAACCGGUUAGAAUUGGUCAUCAGCAACCCAUGAGA